GGCGGAGCUCCGGACGCGGCUUCGGUAUGGGUUCGGGGACGGCGCGGCCAACGGCAUGAACAGGUCAUGAAACCUUGUCACAAAGGUAGGUAAGGGUCACAUGAGUCUACUGGUCAAAGGAAUCGAAGAACGGAGGUUCGGGGUGAUCUCACCGGCAACAAUGAUGGCGGUGACCGACGGAGGAAGACGUCGACGUAGCCGGCUGUACAGAGGUUUUGAGGCCAAACUUUCUACAUGGGAAUGGGAGAGGAGAGGCAAAAGCUCAAAGUGACGCGCGUGGAAUCCUUUUAUAGUGGCCGAGGAGGGAGAUCGGGCGUGGAUGUCGACGGCCGACAUUCGGGGCACCUAUUUUGGAAACUGCGAUAAUUAGAGGAAACUUCAAAUUGAUUUCCUGAAUGGAUUCCCGGGAUGGUGAGGAUUGAUGGGGUGGUUUCCUUUUGGAGAGAGACGCACGGAAAGGAAAGAAAUUGAAGAAAGAAAAUAUGGAAAGAAAGGAUUUCUUACGUGAGGAGGAGGAAGCACGAGCUCGUGCUCGUGGCUGGGUGGGGCGUUCGGUGGAGAUGGGCCGGCCCAGUUGGGUCGGUCCAUUCUCUUUUCUUUUUUUUUUCUUUUUUUUUCCAUUUUUUUUAUUAAUAACUUUUGAUUCCUAACUCCAAAUAAGUCUAAAUAAACUCCAGAAAAUUUGUAAAUUCAAAUUCUCCAAAGUGUGAGAUUUUGGGACUUGAAUCCUUUCAAAAAUAAAAUAAGUAAAAAUACUUUUGCUUAUAUAAAUGUCAUUAGAGCUUUAUAAGUAAUACCUAAAAUAGGUUUUGAAAUCUAUUAUGAAACCUUUGUUUCAUAAAUUAGUUUAAACUCCAAUAAACAUAUUGGGUUGGCAUACUUUGCACUAAAAUCCUUCUUUAGCUAAAUACCCCAUUGGGUUGAACUCCAAAGAAGAUCUCAUAAUAAUUAUACGGUUCAAUAAAAUUCCCUAAUAGCUUUAUAACACCAAAUCUCAAAUCAUGUAAACCAUCGCAGAUGUUUCCAACUAUAUAUAUAUUUGGGAAGUCACGUUAUCCCACUCUCAACGACGGAAUAAAUGUUGGAAUAACAUUUGCACACGAGGAUGUCACGUUAUCAUCUUCUCGAAUAUUUGAUAGUUUUCUCUCGGAAACAAAAUGAACACGACCAAGCAAAUAUCGGGAAAAACAUAAGUGAAUCAUUAAAUAUGUUUUCCAUCCAUAUACUUAGAAAGUCAUAUUAUUCCCUUUAACAUUUAGAUAAAUGUUGGAGAACAUUUCUGAUCCAUUUAAAUAUUCCAACGAUGGUCUCAAAUGGUCAUGGCAUCCAAAUUGGAAUCUUAGUGUGUU
rnacentral:lncRNA from 1 species